rnacentral:misc_RNA from 1 species
GAUGAAGAACGUAGCGAAAUGCGAUAAGUAAUGUGAAUUGCAGAAUUCAGUGAAUCAUCGAAUCUUUGAACGCACCUUGCGCCUUUUGGCUAUUCCGAAGGGCAUGCCUGUUUGAGUAUCAUGAACACCUCAACUCUCAUGGUUUGCCAUGAUGAGCUUGGACUCUGGGGGUCUUGCUGGCCUAUGGUCAGCUCCUCUCAAAUAAAUCAGCUUGCCAGUGUUUGGUGGCAUCACAGGUGUGAUAACUAUCUACGCUUGUGGUUUUCCAUCAGGUAACCUUCAGUGAUGGAGGUUCGCUGGAGCUCAUAAAUGUCCCUCCUCAGCGAGGACAGCUUUUUGAACAUUUGAUCUCAAAUCAGGUAGGACUACCCGCUGAACUUAAGCAUAUCAAUAAGCGGAGGA